rnacentral:rRNA from 1 species
AGAACGAACGCUGGCGGCAUGCCUAAUACAUGCAAGUCGAGCGAACUCUUCGGAGUUAGUGGCGCACGGGUGCGUAACGCGUGGGAAUCUGCCCCUUGGUUCGGAAUAACAGUUGGAAACGACUGCUAAUACCGGAUGAUGACGAAAGUCCAAAGAUUUAUCACCAAGGGAUGAGCCCGCGUAGGAUUAGCUAGUUGGUGAGGUAAAGGCUCACCAAGGCAACGAUCCUUAGCUGGUCUGAGAGGAUGAUCAGCCACACUGGGACUGAGACACGGCCCAGACUCCUACGGGAGCAGCAGUAGGGAAUA